UGGAAGAAAAAAGAACCCACAAAGUAGCCA
rnacentral:piRNA from 1 species